rnacentral:rRNA from 1 species
ACGGGGUGCAGCAGGCGCGAAACUUCACACUGGAGGCAACUCCGAUGAGGGAAUUCCUAGUGCUAGCACAUUAGUGUUAGCUUUUCUUAAGCGUAGAUAACUUAAGGAAUAAGGGCUGGGUAAGACGGGUGCCAGCCGCCGCGGUAAUACCCGCAGCCCAAGUGGUGGUCGAUUUUAUUGAGUCUAAAACGUUCGUAGCCGGUUUGGUAAAUCCUUGGGUAAAUCGAGAGGCUUAACCUUUCGAAUUCCGAGGAGACUGCCAAACUUGGGACCGGGAGAGGCGAGAGGUACUUCUGGGGUAGGGGUAAAAUCCUGUAAUCCUAGAAGGACCACCGGUGGCGAAGGCGUCUCGCUAGAACGGAUCCGACGGUGAGGGACGAAGCCCUGGGUCGCAAACGGGAUUAGAUACCCCGGUAGUCCAGGGUGUAAACGCUGCAGACUUGGUGUUGGGGGCCCUACGGGGGCGUUCAGUGCCGGAGAGAAGUUGUUAAGUCUGCUACUUGGGGAGUACGUCCGCAAGGAUGAAACUUAAGGAAUUGGCGGGGGAGCAC